AAAAAAAACUUCUCCCCAAAACCUGGUACCACCACCGCCUUCUCCCCACAUGAACAUGGGCUUUUCAGGUCGAUUUGACACCAAAACUGUUGUUGCUACCACAUGAACUUACCUCUAGUUACUAACCCACUUCAAUUUCUCGACCCUGAACGUGGAUUUCAGGGCAAAACCCACAUGAACUCACCUCUAGUUACUAACCCACUCAGAUUUCCCGACCCUGAAAGUAUAUUUCAACCCAAAAUAACUCCUACUCACCACAAUAACUCCUUCCAGGUCUAUUCCGUUUCCUGAAUAUGUUCAUUCGUUUUUUUAGCGGGAAUUCCGUUUCCUGAAUAUGUUCAUUUCGUUUUUUUAGCGGAAACCGAGAGAAAAAGGAAAGAGGUUGGAGUUUAGGGGAAAAAGAAAAUACACAAUGCAAUGGGAUUUCGAAUAAUAAGGUUUGUACACAACAUUAUCGUUCUGGAGGACUAUGAUCAUGUCAUUAAAUUUCAUCCAAAGAAUUUAUUCUGGCUUGUGAAAAGUGCGGUAUGGAGGAUUAUCGUGUUCAUUCAGCAUUUUUGUAUCGAAGAGGAGAUGGUAUCGUGGACCCUGCGGAGUACAACUACAACAAGAAG
rnacentral:lncRNA from 1 species